GAUGAUUAUUAUGAGAAAAUAAUACUUCACACUUGGAUUUCUUUAAACAGUAUACUUUUCUAGCAUGUUCCAAGUCUGAUUUGAUUUACAAUUUCCUGUCAUAGUCCAAUCAAUAUUUCAGGAAUUCAUCUAACAUAUAAAGAAAGAUAUCUAUAAAGAAUCAAUCCAGGACUUCAGAAAAAUUUUGUGAGAAUAAAUUUUGUGAGUGUUUUUAUACCUCCAAGAAAGUGCCUUUGUACUACUAUGAAAAAUCCCUCAGGAUAUAAAAAAAUUCCUCUAUAUGGAAUCUUGACUUUUUUGUAUAAUUAAUCAAUGAGAUUAUUUACCCAAUAAAUAAUGGAAGGGGGAUCAGCUGUUUUGGAAUCAACUAAGAAUACCUCUAAAACCUGAGGAGCCCUAACAUAGGCCAAUGUAGAUGACUUUGUAGGAUACUGAACAAAACCAGAUGUAGACAGGGAAGAAGAUAUGAGCCUAACGUGAAAGAAAGAAAGAAGUAAGACUAGAAAUGAAGGAAGGAAGAAGGAAUAGAAGAAGCUCUAGCGUUCUAAAUCUGUGCUGAAAGGUUUUUGUUUGGGUUGGGGUUAAGAGUGUGAGAAACAGGUCCUGACAAGAUGGUGGAUUCCUCUCAUAAUCUCAUGCAAUGGAGUAAAAAGAAAAGAAAUUGAAUCAAGUUUCAUGUUUCUAGCUUAAGCUCCUUUCUCCCAUAUCCACACCAGCAGGACAUGACAAGGAACACCUGACAGGUUUGUCCUUUAAGAGGCUAAAAGGUGAAAUUGCUUUACUUUGAUUGGUUAAAACCCAUGUGAAUGAUUGGGGUUAUGAGUUGCUUUCUGAUCAACUAGCUCUCAUGAAUAGAUUGUAACUGGCCAAUGGUGAACGAGGAAGAGAUUGAUUCAUGUUAGAGACCUUUAUAAAAGGGAGCCUGUGCACUCCCAUUCCUGGUACUUGGAUGCUGGCUGUAACACUGAUUCGACAUAAAAAAGUCAAAGUCUUGCUGGAUUUCUGCAAGUUCUGAUCUUGGAAAUGUAAACUCUUACCAACAUAUUGCCUCAGAAGGUCUGAUGGAAGAUAUUAGAGUGCCAAAGACCUAAGGAAAAAAGAAUAAACCUGCCUUUGUUUUCUUGUCA
rnacentral:lncRNA from 1 species